rnacentral:other from 1 species
CUUACCCUGGAGCGCACGUGGCGGCUGUCGUCGCUGGCCUCACAAGUAUCAAGUCAAGGGAUAUGUCCGCAAUUCGGUGUGCAAGCCCGGCAUGACCGGGAAGCCUUAAGGUUGUCCAAUAUCCCACCGUAGGAGAUAGAGGUCCUGCGGGAGGAUAGCCGCACGGCCCGUCCGGGGUACUU